UCCUCCCUCUUUCUUCGUGCUUAACACAUGCAAGUCGAGCGGAAAGGCCCUUCGGGGUACUCGAGCGGCGAACGGGUGAGUAACACGUGAGUAACCUGCCCCAGACUUUGGGAUAACCCUCGGAAACGGGGGCUAAUACCGGAUACGACACAGCUUCGCAUGGGGUCUGUGUGGAAAGUUUUUCGGUUUGGGAUGGGCUCGCGGCCUAUCAGCUUGUUGGUGGGGUGAUGGCCUACCAAGGCGACGACGGGUAGCCGGCCUGAGAGGGCGACCGGCCACACUGGGACUGAGACACGGCCCAGACUCCUACGGGAGGCAGCAGUGGGGAAUAUUGCACAAUGGGCGGAAGCCUGAUGCAGCGACGCCGCGUGAGGGAUGACGGCCUUCGGGUUGUAAACCUCUUUCAGCAGGGACGAAGCGUAAGUGACGGUACCUGCAGAAGAAGCGCCGGCCAACUACGUG
rnacentral:rRNA from 1 species